rnacentral:rRNA from 1 species
UACGUAGGGACCAAGCGUUGUUCGGAUUUACUGGGCGUAAAGGGCGCGUAGGCGGCAAUUCAAGUCAUCUGUGAAAUCUCCGGGCUUAACUCGGAACGGUCAGAUGAUACUGCUUUGCUCGAGUGCGGAAGGGGCAAUCGGAAUUCUUGGUGUAGCGGUGAAAUGCGUAGAUAUCAAGAGGAACACCUGCGGCGAAGGCGGCCCCCUGGGCCGUACCUGACGCUGAGGCGCGAAGGCUAGGGGAGCGAACGGG